rnacentral:sRNA from 1 species
GGCUUUGUGGCCUGUCUUUCCUCCUGAAAUAGGCAUGGUGUGCGUUGGUGGGGGCGAGUGUCUGCUGGGAAGCUUUUCUCAGCAGCAAACAGAACUCACGAGUCUCAUAUUGAUGUUGCCACCUUGCCGGCUAACGUGGCCAUCCCCAGUGAACACGCCUCCUGAAGGGCUUUGUUUCCUGUUUGCUUCCAAUCAUAUCUUCAGCAUUGAAAAAUCUUUCCUGUCCUCAGUUCAUUAUGAGUCGGAGGUUUAUUUUUUCUUUGUGUUUUUUUUUUUUUUUGUUCCAGUUUAUUUUAAAUGCAUAUUUUAGUUGAAUUGCUUUUUUAAAAAGCCCCCUCUGGCCUCCUGAUUCCAGCUAGUGUCAGCAGUGGGAUACCUGCGCUUGAAGGACAUCAUCCACCGUGACAUCAAGGAUGAGAACAUCGUGAUUGCCGAGGACUUCACAAUCAAGCUGAUAGACUUUGGCUCGGCCGCCUACUUGGAAAGGGGAAAAUUAUUUUAUACUUUCUGUGGGACCAUCGAGUACUGUGCACCGGAAGUUCUCAUGGGGAAUCCCUACAGAGGGCCGGAGCUGGAGAUGUGGUCUCUGGGAGUCACUCUGUACACGCUGGUCUUUGAGGAGAACCCCUUCUGUGAGCUGGAGGAGACCGUGGAGGCUGCCAUACACCCGCCAUACCUGGUGUCCAAAGAACUCAUGAGCCUUGUGUCUGGGCUGCUGCAGCCAGUCCC